rnacentral:rRNA from 1 species
UGUAGCUUGACAUUGGGUCUUGGUACUACAUGUACAGGAUAGGUGGGAGGCUUUGAAACCAGGACGCCAGUUUUGGCGGAGCCAUCCUUGGGAUACCACCCUUGUAGUACUGGGACUCUAACCAUAGGCCAUGAAUCUGGUCUUGGGACACUGUCAGGUGGGCAGUUUGACUGGGGCGGUCGCCUCCCAAAAGGUAACGGAGGCGCUCAAAGGUUCUCUCAGUACGGUCGGAAAUCGUACGUAGAGUGUAAAGGCAAAAGAGGGCUUGAUUGCAAGACAUACAGGUCGAGCAAGGAUGAAAAUCGGACUUAGUGAUCCGGUGGUUCUGCGUGGAAGGGCCAGCGCUCAACGGAUAAAAGCUACCCUGGGGAUAACAGGCUUAUCUCCCCC